rnacentral:rRNA from 1 species
GUAGCAAUACAUGCUGACGAGCGGCGGACGGGUGAGUAACGCUUGGGAAUCUGCCUGUUAGUGGGGGACAACCCGGGGAAACUCGGGCUAAUACCGCAUACGCACUACGGUGGAAAGCCGGGGACCGCAAGGCCUGGCGCUAACAGAUGAGCCCAAGUCGGAUUAGCUAGUUGGUAGGGUAAUGGCCUACCAAGGCGACGAUCCGUAACUGGUCUGAGAGGACGACCAGUCACACGGGAACUGAGACACGGUCCGGACUCCUACGGGAGGCAGCAGUGGGGAAUAUUGGACAAUGGGGGCAACCCUGAUCCAGCGACGCCGCGUGGGUGAAGAAGGCCUGCGGGUUGUAAAGCCCUUUCGGUUGGGAAGAAAAGCUGCGACCUAACACGUCGCGGCCUUGACGUAACCAACUAAAGAAGCACCGGCUAACUCUGUGCCAGCAGCCGCGGUAAUACAGAGGGUGCGAGCGUUAAUCGGAAUUACUGGGCGUAAAGCGCGCGUAGGCGGCUUUUCAAGUCGGAUGUGAAAUCCCCGGGCUUAACCUGGGAACUGCAUUCGAGACUGUCUAGCUAGAGUAUGGGAGAGGGAAGUGGAAUUUCAGGUGUAGCGGUGAAAUGCGUAGAUAUCUGAAGGAACAUCAGUGGCGAAAGCGACUUCCUGGACCAAUACUGACGCUCAUGUGCGAAAGCGUGGGGAGCAAACAGGAUUAGAUACCCUGGUA